UACCGUCCUCCCUGGUCAAAUCGCACCGCGCGCCAGACGUCGAGAUCGCUGGCACGGCCAGCCCUCGGAUGGAGCACUAUCUGCGGCCUACUUAUAUGGAAGCACCUGCCCUCUCGCCCUGCUAAACCGCUCGCUGCCCUAUCAUCGCGUACCGCGCCAACGCCGUGCAAGUGGAGUCGCCGCCGCCUGGCAUGAAAGGGUCGCCGUGGUGGAAAUCCCGGCGAGCGCACUAUUGAGGCACGCCUUUUGCCGUGGGGCUUUGCCUAUCUGCGGGGAAGUCGCACGGACCCUCUGCGGGUGGCGCUUGGGUCAGGAGAACCACCAGUUGCUCGUCGGCGUGCUGAAUCCAUCCCGGGCUGCACCGAGAUGUAGACGGGUGUCCACGGGCCUUCCUUCGUUUCGGAGAAGAAUAGGUGGUAGAAGAGGAGCCGCCAAACACUGAGGCUUUCGACUUGAUCUAGGUGGCAUCUCCCAGUCAUCUUUGUGGCGCCAGGGAAUAAUAUUUAGUUCGCUUUACUUUUAUCAUUUAUUUUUGUAAGACUUCCGCUAUGUAAUAAGUACAUUUAUGACAUAUAUCU